rnacentral:rRNA from 1 species
ACGGGGCGCAGCAGGCGCGAAAACUUUGCAAUGUGCGAAAGCACGACAAGGUUAAUCCGAGUGGUUUCUGCUAAAGGAACCUUUUGUUAGUCCUAGAAACACUAACGAAUAAGGGGUGGGCAAGUUCUGGUGUCAGCCGCCGCGGUAAAACCAGCACCUCAAGUGGUCAGGAUGAUUAUUGGGCCUAAAGCAUCCGUAGCCGGCUCUGUAAGUUUUCGGUUAAAUCUGUACGCUUAACGUACAGGCUGCCGGGAAUACUGCAUAGCUAGGGAGUGGGAGAGGUAGACGGUACUCGGUAGGAAGGGGUAAAAUCCUUUGAUCUAUUGAUGACCACCUGUGGCGAAGGCGGUCUACCAGAACACGUCCGACGGUGAGGGAUGAAAGCUGGGGGAGCAAACCGGAUUAGAUACCCGGGUAGUCCCAGCUGUAAACUAUGCAAACUCAGUGAUGCAUUGGCUUGUGGCCAAUGCAGUGCUGCAGGGAAGCCGUUAAGUUUGCCGCCUGGAAGUACGUACGCAAGU